rnacentral:tRNA from 1 species
GCGGGUGUGGUCUAGCGGUAUGACGCUGGCUUCCCAAGCCAGUUGCCCGGGUUCGAAUCCCGGCACCCGCA